rnacentral:rRNA from 1 species
UGAAUCAGAAGUCUUACACCGGACUGCCACUGAUUUUUUUGAAGGGCCGCGGUAUUAUGACCGUGCAAAGGUAGCAUAAUCAUUAGUCUUUUAAUUGAGGGCUGGAAUGAAUGGUUUGACGAGGUAAAAACUGUCUCAUUAAAAUAAAUUGAAGUUAACUUUUAAGUGAGAAGGCUUAAAUAAAUAUAUAGGACGAGAAGACCCUAUAGAGUUUAAUAUAUUCUUUUAUGGUUGUUGCAUAGAAGUAGGGAAUAAUUGUAUAAAAUAUAUUUUGUUGGGGUGACAUAAAGAUAAAAGUAACUCUUUAUUUUUAUAACAUUGAUUUAUGGUUAAAUGAUCCACAAAUAGUGAUUAAAAGAUUAAAUUACCUUAGGGAUAACAGCGUAAUUUUCUUUAAGAGUUCAUAUCAACAAGAAAGAUUGCGACCUCGAUGUUGGAUUAAGAAUUAUAAUUAGAUGCAGCAGUUUAAUUUAUAGGUCUGUUCGACCUUUAAAUUCUUACGUGAUCUGAGUU